GAUGAACGCUGGCGGCGUGCUUAAUACAUGCAAGUCGAGCGAACGGACGAGAAGCUUGCUUCUCUGAUGCUAGCGGCGGACGGGUGAGUAACACGUGGAUAACCUACCUAUAAGACUGGGAUAACUUCGGGAAACCGGAGCUAAUACCGGAUAAUAUUUUGAACCGCAUGGUUCAAAAGUGAAAGACGGUCUUGCUGUCACUUAUAGAUGGAUCCGCGCUGCAUUAGCUAGUUGGUAAGGUAACGGCUUACCAAGGCAACGAUGCAUAGCCGACCUGAGAGGGUGAUCGGCCACGCUGGAACUGAGACACGGUCCAGACUCCUACGGGAGGCAGCAGUAGGGAAUCUUCCGCAAUGGGCGAAAGCCUGACGGAGCAACGCCGCGUGAGUGAUGAAGGUCUUCGGAUCGUAAAACUCUGUUAUUAGGGAAGAACAUAUGUGUAAGUAACUGUGCACAUCUUGACGGUACCUAAUCAGAAAGCCACGGCUAACUACGUG
rnacentral:rRNA from 1 species